rnacentral:rRNA from 1 species
UACGUAGGGUGCAAGCGUUGUCCGGAAUUAUUGGGCGUAAAGAGCUCGUAGGCGGUCUGUCGCGUCGGCUGUGAAAACUCGGGGCUCAACUCCGAGCUUGCAGUCGAUACGGGCAGGCUAGAGUUCGGCAGGGGAGACUGGAAUUCCUGGUGUAGCGGUGAAAUGCGCAGAUAUCAGGAGGAACACCGGUGGCGAAGGCGGCAUCCUGGACCGACAUUGACGCUGAGGAGCGAAAGCUAGGGGAGCAAACGGG